rnacentral:rRNA from 2 species
GAGAGCAAGCGGACCUCAUAAAGUGCGUCGUAGUCCGGAUUGGAGUCUGCAACUCGACUCCAUGAAGUCGGAAUCGCUAGUAAUCGUGGAUCAGAAUGCCACGGUGAAUACGUUCCCGGGCCUUGUACACACCGCCCGUCACACCAUGGGAGUGGGUUGCAAAAGAAGUAGGUAGCUUAACCUUCGGGGGGGCGCUUACCACUUUGUGAUUCAUGACUGGGGUGAAGUCGUAACAAGGUAACCGUAGGGGAACCUGCGGUUGGAUCACCUCCUUACCUUAAAGAAGC